rnacentral:rRNA from 1 species
GGCUCAGGAUGAACGCUGGCGGCGUGCCUAAUACAUGCAAGUCGAACGGAGAAAUUAGCAAUAGUUUCUGAGUGGCGAACGGGUGAGUAACGCGUUGGUGACCUGCCCCGAAGUGUGGGAUAACAGCUCGAAAGGGCUGCUAAUACCGCAUGUGGUCUUGGGAACUAGAGACCCAAGACUAAAGGUGAAAACCGCUUUGGGAGGGGCCUGCGUCCCAUCAGCUAGUUGGUAAGGUAACGGCUUACCAAGGCGACGACGGGUAGGGGGCCUGAGAGGGUGAUCCCCCACAUUGGCACUGAAACACGGGCCAAACACCUACGGGUGGCAGCAGUAGGGAAUCUUGCACAAUGGGCGCAAGCCUGAUGCAGCAACGCCGCGUGCGCGAUGAAGGCCUUCGGGUCGUAAAGCGCUUUUCUGGAGGACGAGGAAGGACGGUACUCCAGGAAUAAGGCUCGGCUAACUACGUGCCAGCAGCCGCGGUAAAACGUAGGAGCCAAGCGUUAUCCGAAUUUACUGGGCGUAAAGCGCGUGCAGGCGGUUGGGUAAGUUGGCUGUGAAAUCUCCCGGCUCAACUGGGAGGGGACGGUCAAGACUGCCCGACUGGAGGCAGGUAGAGGGAGGUGGAAUUCCCGGUGUAGUGGUGAAAUGCGUAGAUAUCGGGAGGAACACCAGUGGCGAAGGCGGCCUCCUGGACCUGACCUGACGCUCAGACGCGAAAGCUAGGGGAGCAGACGGGAUUAGAAACCCCGGUAGUCCUAGCCGUAAACGAUGUGGACUAGGCGGCGGUGGGGUAAAAGCCAUCGGUGCCGCAGCCAACGCGAUAAGUCCACCGCCUGGGGACUACGG